rnacentral:rRNA from 1 species
CGAGACCCACGCCAACAGUUGCCAGCAUGUCCUCCGGGAUGAUGGGGACACUGUUGGACGCUCUGCUAAAGAGGGAGGAAGGAAUGGGCAACGGUAGGUCAGCAUGCCCCGAAGUUAUCCCGGGCUACACGCGGGCUACAAUGGUCAGGACAAUGGGGUAUCGACACCGAGAGGUGGAGGCAAUCUCCGUAAACCUGUCCUUAGUUCGGAUUGUGGGCUGCAACUCGCCCACAUGAAGCUGGAAUCCGUAGUAAUCGCGUUUCAAAAUAGCGCGGUGAAUAUGUCCCUGCUCCUU